rnacentral:pre_miRNA from 4 species
UCUUAUGGAUGAGUAAAAAAAGUGGUUUCUUGACAUGAACUCUACUCUUGCUGAAGAUGCUGUGAG